rnacentral:rRNA from 1 species
GCGUAAGAACCUACCUUAUGGUGAGGGAUACCAACUGGAAACGGUUGCUAAUACCUCAUGUGCUGAGAAGUAAAAGACAGAAAUGUUGCCAAAAGAGGGGCUUGCGUCUGAUUAGUUUGUUGGUGAGGUAAAGGCUUACCAAGACGAUGAUCAGUAGUUGGUUUGAGAGGACGAUCAGCCACACUGGGACUGAGACACGGCCCAGACUUCUACGGAGGGCAGCAGUGAGGAAUUUUCCGCAAUGGGCGAAAGCCUGACGGAGCAAUGUCGCGUGGAGGAAGAAGGCUCGUGGGUUGUAAA